rnacentral:sRNA from 1 species
UAUAAAGAAAGAAGAGGAAGAAGACGAAGAAUCAAAACU